rnacentral:rRNA from 1 species
UAAGGAAUAUUGGUCAAUGGACGAAAGUCUGAACCAGCCAUGCCGCGUGGAGGAUGAAGGUCCUCUGGAUUGUAAACUUCUUUUAUAUGGGACGAAAAAAGGGUUUUCUAACUCGUCUGACGGUACCAUAUGAAUAAGCACCGGCUAACUCCGUGCCAGCAGCCGCGGUAAUACGGAGGGUGCAAGCGUUAUCCGGAUUCACUGGGUUUAAAGGGUGCGUAGGUGGGUUGGUAAGUCAGUGGUGAAAUCUCCGAGCUUAACUUGGAAACUGCCAUUGAUACUAUCAGUCUUGAAUAUUGUGGAGGUCAGCGGAAUAUGUCAUGUAGCGGUGAAAUGCUUAGAUAUGACAUAGAACACCAAUUGCGAAGGCAGCUGGCUACACAUCUAUUGACACUGAGGCACGAAAGCGUGGGGAUCAAACA